rnacentral:rRNA from 1 species
CACGUAGGCGGCAAGGUAAGUCAAAGGUGAAAGCCCUCGGCUCAACCGAGGAAUUGCCUUUGAAACUGCUUUGCUUGAGUCCGGGAGGGGGGAGCGGAAUUCCCAGUGUAGCGGUGAAAUGCGUAGAUACUGGGAGGAACACCGGUGGCGAAGGCGGCUCCCUGGACCGGUACUGACGCUGAGGUGCGAAAGCGUGGGUAGCAAACA